rnacentral:tRNA from 3 species
GCGCCAGUAGCUCAGCUGGAUAGAGCGCCGGACUACGAAUCCGUAGGUCGGGGGUUCGAAUCCCUCCUGGCGUACCA